rnacentral:rRNA from 1 species
GCUCAAAUUUGAAAUCUUCAAGGUUCUACCUUGACGAAUUGUAGUUUAAAGAAGUGUUUUCUGUUAGUGGAGUGGCAAAAGUUCUUUGGAAUAGGACAUCAUAGAGGGUGAGAAUCCCGUAUUUGGUCAUUCCUUCUAGCUUUGUGAUACACUUUCAAAGAGUCGGAUUGUUUGGGAAUGCAGUCCAAAAUGGGUGGUAAAUUUCAUCUAAAGCUAAAUAUUGGCGAGAGACCGAUAGCGAACAAGUACCGUGAGGGAAAGAUGAAAAGAACUUUGAAAAGAGAGUUAAACAGUACGUGAAAUUGUCAAAAGGGAAGCGUUUGACACCAGUGUUGUUUUUCCGAAAAUCAAUUAUAAAUGUUUUGUUUCUGAGGAGUGAUGACUUCAUCGGCUUCCUUCUCUCUUCACGAAACUUUUGUAAUGCACUUUUCGGUUAACAAG